GUGCAGACUUGGAGCUGAGCUAGCUGUUAGCAUGUAUCUGUAGGUAAACACACUGUUAGCAGGCUAGCUGUUAGCAUGUAUCCGUAGGUAAACACACUGUUAGCAGGCUAGCUGUUAGCAUGUAUCCGUAGGUAAACACAGUGUAAGCAGGCUAGCUGUUAGCAUGUAUCUGUAGGUAAACACAGUGUAAGCAGGCUAGCUGUUAGCAUGUAGCUGUAGGUAAACACAGUGUAAGCAGGCUAGCUGUUAGCAUGUAUUUGUAGAUAAACACUGUGUUAGUAGACUAGCUGUUAGCAUGUAUCUGUAGGUAAACACAGUGUAAGCAGGCUAGCUGUUAGCAUGUAUCUGUAGGUAAACACUGUGUUAGCAGGCUAGCUAUGGAUAAACACACUGUUAGUAGGUUAGCUGUUAGCAUGUAUCUGUAGGUAAACACAGUGUUAGUAGGCUAGCUGUUAGCAUGUAUCUGUAUGUAAGCACAGUGUUAGCAGGCUAGCUGUUAGCAUGUAUUUGUAGGUAAACACACUGUUAGCAGGCUAGCUGUUAGCAUGUAUCUGUAUGUAAGCACAGUGUUAGCAGGCUAGCUGUUAGCAUGUAUCUGUAUGUAAGCACAGUGUUAGCAGGCUAGCUGUUAGCAUGUAUCUGUAUGUAAGCACAGUGUUAGCAGGCUAGCUGUUAGCAUGUAUCUGUAUGUAAGCACAGUGUUAGCAGGCUAGCUGUUAGCAUGUAUCUGUAUGUAAGCACAGUGUUAGCAGGCUAGCUGUUAGCAUGUAUCUGUAUGUAAGCACAGUGUUAGCAGGCUAGCUGGAGGUAAACACACCAAU